rnacentral:rRNA from 1 species
CCUACGGGAGGCAGCAGUGAGGAAUAUUGGUCAAUGGGCGCGAGCCUGAACCAGCCAAGUCGCGUGAGGGAAGACGGUCCUAUGGAUUGUAAACCUCUUUUGUCGGGGAGCAAAAGACGCCACGCGUGGCGUUCCGAGAGUACCCGAAGAAAAAGCAUCGGCUAACUCCGUGCCAGCAGCCGCGGUACUACGGAGGAUGCGAGCGUUAUCCGGAUGUAUUGGGUUUAAAGGGUGCGCAGGCGGAAGAUCAAGUCAGCGGUAAAAUUGAGAGGCUCAACCUCUUCGAGCCGUUGAAACUGGUUUUCUUGAGUGAGCGAGAAGUAUGCGGAAUGCGUGGUGUAGCGGUGAAAUGCAUAGAUAUCACGCAGAACUCCGAUUGCGAAGGCAGCAUACCGGCGCUCAACUGACGCUCAUGCACGAAAGUGUGGGUAUCGAACAGGAUUAGAUACCCGAGUAGUC